GAUCCAUUCAUCCAACAAUUCAUUACAACAUAGGGUGCACUACUACCAUAUGAAAAUCGGGGAUUUAAAUGUAAGGCAAUUAUAGGAUGCGGAUAAAUUGCUUUCCCUUUUUAUUAAGAAAACAUGGAAACUUACGAAUGAGGAAGAAGCUUUAAUCUUCCAGCUAUAAAAAGUCUGGAGCCUGUUUUGAACUGACUGUCGAUAUCUACUGUAAUGGGAACGCUCUUCACAUACAUGUUUAAAAUUAAAAAAUUUCACUUGAAAUGAAUUCGUUACUUUAAAAUGAAUUCUUGCCUGAAAUGAAUUCGUAGUGCAGAAUA